UACGUAGGUCCCGAGCGUUGUCCGGAUUUAUUGGGCGUAAAGCGAGCGCAGGUGGUUUAAUAAGUCUGAUGUAAAAGGCAGUGGCUCAACCAUUGUGUGCAUUGGAAACUGUUAGACUUGAGUGCAGUAGAGGAGAGUGGAAUUCCAUGUGUAGCGGUGAAAUGCGUAGAUAUCGGGAGGAAGGCCGGUGGCGAAGGCGGCCUCCUGGGCCUGCACUGACGCUGAGGCGCGAAAGCGUGGGGAGCAAACAGG
rnacentral:rRNA from 1 species